GACCUCGGUAGCUUAGCGAUUCAAAGCAUUGGGGCAUAAACCUGAAGGCAUGGGUUCGAAUCCCAUCGAGUUCA